ensembl:rRNA 5S_rRNA 5S ribosomal RNA
AUAAGCAGCCAUAUCACCCUGCAACUCACAACUGGCAACCCACUGAAGCUAAGUAGGUGUGAGCCUAGUCAGUACCUGGAUGGGAGACCUCCUGGGAAAAACUAAGGUUGCUGCUGGAA